rnacentral:rRNA from 1 species
CUACGGGGGGCAGCAGUAGGGAAUAUUGGACAAUGGGCGAAAGCCUGAUCCAGCAACACCGCGUGCACGAUGACGGCCUUCGGGUUGUAAAGUGCUUUUAGAGGAGAUGAGAAAGGACAGUAUCCUCUGAAUAAGCCUCGGCGAACUACGUGCCAGCAGCCGCGGUAAAACGUAGGAGGCAAGCGUUAUCCGGAUUUAUUGGGCGUAAAGCGCGUGCAGGCGGUCUAGCAAGUUGGAUGUGAAAGCUCCUGGCUUAACUGGGAGAGGUCGUUCAAUACUGUUAGACUAGAGAAUAGGAGAGGGAGGUGGAAUUCCGGGUGUAGUGGUGAGAUGCGUGGAUAUCCGGAGGAACACCAGUGGCGAAAGCGGCCUCCUGGACUAUUUCUGACGCUAAGACGCGAAAGCUAGGGUAGCAAACGGGAUUAGAUACCCGAGUAGUC